UACCUUCUGGAUCACACCGUGGAUGGCUAUGCUAUUCUGUUCCCAGGGCUCACUUCAUUUUUAAACAUUUAACCCUUUAUGUUCCACUAUCACACUAGAUGUGUGUUCUGGAGUAAAAACAGUUUCUACUCAUGUGGUUGUGGUUACUUCUCAAUCUCUGCAUUCUUGAUGGUGUAUGUUCCCUCCCUCAAAUUGGGGUCCUAAUUCUUUCAUGAAUUUGGGUGAAUUAUGAUCUAGCCUGGGGAAGUAGACCCUGACCAAAUAACGAUCCUGCAGCUCAGCUGCUAAACUUUGUGAGACUCAUUUUGGAUGAGUUUAAGCAAAUCAGUGGCUGAACUGUUUAAAAUAGCCAACCACAUUCUGUUCUUGGUCUGUGCUAGGCGGCUUUUCUGGUUCCCUAUGCAUUUAGCAGAUUGUGAAACUUUUGGGGUGAAUUUCAGUUCUUUAGGGCAUGUGGGUCGGCGCUUGAGGUUAGAGGGUCAGGGUGUAGUAGAGUGCACAUAUCUCCCGAGAGCAGCGUGGGCUGAGGAGGGGUAGCCUUGGGUGGAAGCACACAGCUCUCAGCACGCACUGUCUGGCUGCACCGAGCCCUGCAUGCUGCUUCCUUGCUAAGUGCUGCUGCUUAGCACUGACAGCUGCAUGCUCACCAAGCUGCUGGUCUUCUGCUCUGUGUGGCUGACCCUUUCUGUUGGCUGUAUGGCAUUAAUAUUUGGAAGAAGUUAGAAUCUAUGGCCACGUACAAGGAGGGACUUGAUUCCUAAAGAUUUCCAACAUCUGUCCACAGGUUUUAAGUGAUCUCUCAUGUUAGUUUUGUUGUUGCUUUUGUUGUCUGCUUGGGACUUAGCAAACAUUUACUUUAUAUUAUUUCUCUAGAUUAGUUGUUCCAAUCAUGCUGUGGCCCUUUAAUACAGUUCCUUAUGUUGUGAUGACCCCCAACCAUAAAAUUAUUUUUGUUGCUACUUUAUAACUGUAAUUUUGUUACUGUUAUGAAUCACGAUGUAAAUGUCUGUUUUCUAUGGUCUUAGAUGACGUCUGUGGAGGUUCACAGGUUGAGAGCUGUUGCUCUAGACAUUGGUUAUGUCUCACAAGCUUUGCACAGUGAGCAGAAAAAAAUCCAUACCAGUCUCUUUAGUGCCUACCCUAUUUUAAAUAAGGCAAGAGUUUAGCAAGUGGUUAUUAUAUAGUUAGUUUUGUUGUAUCAUUGCCUGUUGACCAGUGAUCAUUGGAGCGCACAGCAGGUAGUUCCAUGCGUUUACUCGAUUCUCUCUGUAGUCAUCUUGUUGUCUUACCAUUUCAUAUGGAAUACGGAGCCAAAGGUCCUUUUCUCACCAACAUUGCACAUUGCUUUUAGCAGAACUGAGUUGCAUGUGAAGAAAAAUGAAAACACCCAAAGUGCUCCUAUCCUUUCCUUUAUCUUUGUGACAAAAACCCAAACUUAGGGAUAUUUCAGGUUUGUGUGCUUAUUUAUGACUUUAUUCUUAUUUUGUGGGUUCAAGGGUGUAUCGCUUAUGAAAAAACAAGCUGACACAUUCUUGUUUUUAUUUAUUCAUUUUUGAAAAUUUCAUACAUGAGUAUUGCACUUGAGUCAUUUCUAUCCCCUUCUGUCCUCUCUCUGUCUCCUUUCAUGUUAUGUUCCCCAACUCCCUCUCAAAUCUAUGGUCUCUUAUUCUUUAAUUAUUAUUGUUUCAUACACACACACACACACACACCUGCUGAGUCCCUUUAGUGUGCAUUGUUUAUGUAUAUGUGUUUGUUUUGGGUUGAAGUUGGGUAUCUGUCAGGGGCUGGUCCCCAGAGAAGACUGAUUCCCCCCCUCUUAGCAGCCAGUGAUUGCCUGCAGCUCUUCAUCUAGUAUUGGGGCUUGUGACAUUUCCCUUGUCCACAUUGGUAUGCCAACUGGUUGUUUUCAUUGUUCAGUUAUAUAGACCGUGUGUGUGUGUGUGUGUGUGUGUGUGUAUGUGUCGGGGGAGGAUCACAGCAGGUGUCUUGGUCUGGCUCUUUAAGAUUUUAAAUCUUCUCACACUGUAGAAAUCUUUCCUCUUCUAUGAUGUUUACUGAGCCCCAAGUAUGGAGUUGAGUUAUAGGUGUACCAUCUCAGGUAUGGAUUGUGUUGUAAGUGUACCAUCCCAGGUGUGGGUUGUGUUGUAGGUGUACUGUCCCAGCCAGGGUCCCCAUAGUCACUUGCUCUCUACAUUUUAACCAGUUGUAGAUCUCUAAAGUAGUCCACAUCUCUUACAAAAAGAAGCUCCUUUGCCGAGGGGUGAGCACUAUGCUUAUUUGUAGCAGUGAGGAUAAUUCUUUCCAUGGUUGGCAGGAAGACAUUGACUUGCCUACUGGUGUGUGAGGUGGUGUUUGGCCACUACAGAGAGUUGGUGGAGCCUGAGCAUGGGAUGCUAACGUGGAGUAGAACUGGAGGCAAGGAAGCUUCUGGUUGGCUGAUGCAUCCUCUUUGGUGGCUCCCGGAAAGGAAGUGGGAAAGAGCUUAGACAGUGUCCUAUUGUGAAAGACUCAUGGGAGACGCACUGCGCCCUACGUUUCCUGGGGUCCUCCUCUUUGCUUUCUUAUUUCUUACAGUCACACAGUUGCCAGGCCUUCAUUUGUCUUGGAGAAGUGUUAUCAGUGCAGUUGUUACAGAAAGACUGAGACGCAGUGGCAUGGUGGGAUUUGAUCUUUCUGUUUGUGUCUGGGAAGUGGAUGGCUGAGGAGAGCAGUGGGCGGGGAAGGUAGGACAGUUCGGGUGAUCACAGGGGAGAUGGCUGACUCUUCCAGGAACUGGAAGAAAGAUGCCCAGGGCUAUGUGUUAAAGCACAUUCCCAUGGCACCUGCUCCAUCCCAGACAGCCUGGACUUGGUCAGAAUUUCACAAUGGAGCCCUGCUAAUCUGAGCAUGUGUUUAAGGAGAUAGAUCUCUUUGGAUUUUAAAUGCCUGGCUCUGGUAAUGAGCUGGUUGUAA
rnacentral:lncRNA from 1 species